rnacentral:rRNA from 1 species
CAGGAUGAACGCUGGCGGCGUGCUUAACACAUGCAAGUCGAACGGUGAAGCCCAGCUUGCGGGGUGGAUCAGUGGCGAACGGGUGAGUAACACGUGAGCAACCUGCCCCUGACUCUGGGAUAAGCGCUGGAAACGGCGUCUAAUACUGGAUACGAACAGGAAUCGCAUGGUUACUGUUUGGAAAGAUUUUUCGGUUGGGGAUGGGCUCGCGGCCUAUCAGCUUGUUGGUGAGGUAAUGGCUCACCAAGGCGUCGACGGGUAGCCGGCCUGAGAGGGUGACCGGCCACACUGGGACUGAGACACGGCCCAGACUCCUACGGGAGGCAGCAGUGGGGAAUAUUGCACAAUGGGCGCAAGCCUGAUGCAGCAACGCCGCGUGAGGGAUGACGGCCUUCGGGUUGUAAACCUCUUUUAGCAGGGAAGAAGCGAGAGUGACGGUA